UUGACUUGGAACUCAAUAUGUACCAGGUUGGCAUCAAAGUCAGAGAGAUGCCCCUGCCUCUGCCUUCAUAGGACUAGAUUUAAAGGCAUGAGUCACCAGAGUAGGCUCAAACAGCAAUUUUUUUCUUAAUUAUUUCGUGUAUAUGUGUGUGUAUGUGUGUAUAUGUGUGUCUAUGUAUGUGUGUGUAUGUGUGUGAAUGUAUGUGUGUGUGCAUGCUCAUCCAUGUGCACACCAUAUAUGUGCAGUGCUCAAGAAAGCCAGAAGAAUUGAAUGUCUGGUCUCCUGAAAUUGAAGUUACAGUUGUUAGCUGCCCUAUGGAUGCUAAGAAUCGAACCCGGAUCCUCUGGAAGUGCUCCUAACCACUGAGUCAUCUCUCCAGCCUAAGCAAACAGCCAUUUUUAAAACCAAAUUCUACUAGAACAUGAUCCAAUUUUGCAUUAACCCGACACGUGCUGAAGCACAGCAGAGGGAAACAUGGAAUCGGUUCUCCACAGCGAGACCAUUGUUUCCCUAGAAGAGCAAGAAGCUUUGUACACACAGCGAGGACACAGCAACACUCUAGAUUGUGAUCUGGUGUUUCGAGCAUCACGUACAGGUGUUGCAUGGCGUCAUGGGAAGCUCGGCGCACAGUGCUCUGCAUUCAGAACCAGGGCUGCAGGUACAUCGUGAGCAGCAGAACCAAGGCUGCAGGUGCAUCGUGAGCAGCAGAACCAGGGCUGCAGGUACAUCAUGAGUGGCAGAACCAAGGCUGCAGGUGCAUCGUGAGCGGCAGAACCAGGGCCGCAGGUACAUCGUGAGCGGCAGAACCAGGGCCGCAGGUGCAUCGUGAGCGGCAGAACCAGGGCCGCAGGUGCAUCGUGAGCAGCAGAACCAGGGCCGCAGGUGCAUCGUGAGCGGCAGAACCAAGGCUGCAGGUGCAUCGUGAGCGGCAGAACCAAGGCUGCAGGUGCAUCGUGAGCGGCAGAACCAAGGCUGCAGGUGCAUCGUGAGCAGCAGAACCAGGGCCGCAAGUGCAUCGUGAGCGGCAGAACCAGGGCUGCAGGGACAUCGUGAGUGGCAGAACCAGGGCUGCAGGUGCAUCGUGAGCGGCAGUAGCAGGGCUGCAGGUGCAUUAUGAGCGACAGAACCAGGGCUGCAGGUGCAUCAUGAGCAGCAGUAGCAGUGCUGGCAGUAAACACCCACAUCUGUUGCCUAUCUGACUCUGAAUUAAUUUUUCUUGUUACUAUAUGUUUAGAAACCUUUUACCACACCUCCACAUUCAGCACAGUACAGGUUGUGAUCCACAGUUUGGGAGGCUAAGCCCCAGACCACCCAUCAAAAGCACCGAGAGGCGCCAGGAUCCUAGGACCCCCUGACGGACGGUGCUUAGCUACUCCCCUCCUCACGUGUUAUGGAAUGGAAGUGUGUGUCAUCUAAUUCUAUUAUGCAGUUCUCCACGAAUCUGCCUGGGCUGAAUAAGGGCUGACCAACAGUGGUCCCUUCUCUUGGAAAAAGACCACUCCUCGUGCCUACAGCUCUGACGCGCUUGCAGCCUGGUCGCAGGGCACUGCCCUGUCUUUCCUGCCCCAGCUGUCUACAGCGCUGAGUUGUCCCGAAGCAAGCUGUAUACUGCGAGCAACCUUACCUGCAUCGAAGAUGCUUUCCAUCGGUUGGUCGGUUAGAAAUUUGCUGCCAUGGAGAGUUGGAAGGGUGCAAAUCUAGAGCUAGAAUUAUUUGGGGGCUCUUGUUGGUUCUCUUUAUGAUAGCUAUUUAGUGUCCCCUUUCCCCAUGCCUGACAUCCAGCAUCGGAAUGUUUUAAUUUAGCAGAACACGAUCUGCCUGCCCUGUUCUGUAUUAAUUUGGUUACCUUGUGUGUCUCUCUCCAAGCUUACUGAGUAAAUAAAUAUAGGUAUUUCCAAGUUGUA